CCUACGGGUGGCAGCAGUGAGGAAUAUUGGUCAAUGGACAAGAGUCUGAACCAGCCAAGUAGCGUGAAGGAUGACUGCCCUAUGGGUUGUAAACUUCUUUUGUAUGGGAAUAACAUGUUCCACGUGUGGGAUUUUGUAUGUACCGUAUGAAUAAGGGUCGGCUAACUCCGUGCCAGCAGCCGCGGUAAUACGGAGGGUCCGAGCGUUAUCCGGAUUUAUUGGGGUUAAAGGGAGCGUAGGUGGACUGUUAAGUCAGCGGUAAAAGCCCGGGGCUCAACCGCGGCGAGCCGUUGAAACUGGCUGCCUGGAGAUGGCGAGAGGCAGGCGGAAUGCGCAGUGUAGCGGUGAAAUGCUUAGAUAUUGCGAAGAACCCCGAUUGCGAAGGCAGCAUGCCGGGGGGGGUCUGACGCUGAGGCACGAAAGCGCGGGUAUCGAACAGGAUUAGAUACCCGUGUAGUC
rnacentral:rRNA from 1 species